UCCAGUCCCGGUUCCGGCUCCAGUCCCGUUUCCGGCUCCAGUCCCGUUUUACUCACCUGCUGUUAUUUUGUCUGUGGCAAAUUUUCUUCCUGAAACAGAAGAGCAGGAUGAAGAUGAUGAUGAAGAGGAGGAUGGCAGCGAUGAAAGGGGCCAGCUGGUUAUGUUGUGGUGAAUCAGCUGUUGGGAGGGAUGAACAUGAGAGUGAUUGACAGCGCUAAGACCCUCCUCCUGGCUCUGAUUGGUUGUGUCUGACUGACUGGUGUAUUUCUACUGGGAGCACUGGGAGGCAGAUGAGCUGGAUUCUUUUCAGAUUAUCUUAUAUCUGGGUGUCCAAAGCGCGGCCCGGGGCCAUUUGCGGCCCUCUGAAGGAUUUUGUUUGGUCCCCUCAAUGCAAGCAGACGGUUGAUGGAGAUGGAAACUUUGUCAUCUUCUAGAGGAACUUUUUUUUUUUUUUUACAGAUAAAUAACAUCUUAUUUUAAAAAUACGAGUUAAAAGAAACAUAUUUCCAUUCAUUAACGCCACAAGCAUCAACCUACAUUUACUCAAACGAAAACAUUCAUCCCAAACAAGAAAAUAAUCAACCUCUAAAAGUUACUUGUUCUAAACCUUUUUAAUGUUUUCUGACUCCAAUAAUUAAAAUUUUAAUUUAGAUUGUUAUUGAGUGAAUAAACUUUCAAAAUAAAUACUUUUGUGGCCCAUAUUUUUAAUAAAAGUUUCAAACUGCAGCUUUAAUAUCUCUUAUGUUGGAUAAAAUCAAUCUGAGUUUAUUACAAAGGAUCUAAUAUUGUCAACGGUUCUGUGUUCAAUUUUCUCCUGCGUUUAUAUAUUCAAAUACAUUAGUUUUAAUUUUUAUCUAUCAAGGAAAGAAAACGUUAUAAGAAAAAGGAAAACAAGUUUCUUACUGUCAGAGUGGAGCGACGGGCAAUCUGAAAGAAACAGACGUUUAAAAACUGACAUCAGGUAAAUCAAUCUGUUCAUUAGUUUUCAACAAAAACUUUAAUUGUUUAAUUAUUGCGUUAUGUUAAAUGCAAAAUGUAUAUGUUCUCUGUACAGCUUUGCAUAAUUACUGCUUAUCACUACUAACAAUUAUUAGUGAUAAUUAUCAUCUCUAGACAUUUUUCAACAUUUUAGAAAAUCAAAUAUUUAAAAUUCAUAAUCAGUGGCUUCUUUCAAAUCUAACAAAGAUUUUGUUGAACAAAUUUGGAUUUGCAAAUCUGAAUUUAUAUUCUUUGGAUAAAAAAAUGAUGAAAAGAUUUUCCAAACAAAAAUAUGUUUCACUGGAUCUGAGAUCGAUACAAGUUCAGGUUCUAGUUUAUGUUCAGCAAUGUUUCUGACCAGAAACUCUGGUCAGAAACUCUGGUCAGUUUCUAACCAGCAGCUCAACAUCAGUGAGCCAAAAUCCAGAACUGCUGGGAUCAAAUUAUUUGGUAGAUUAUUUCCCCUGGCAAACAACUGGAAUGCAAAUUAUUCUGAAUAUUGACAUCGUUUCCAUCAAAUACGAAACUCAGUUGAAAUCACACGAUGUGUGAAUAAGUUUGUUCUCGUGAUAAGCCGUUAAAUUGCCGCCAUAUUUCUCCAACUCUUUCUGUCUUCUUCGUCUUUUCCGCCAGCAGUAACAUCCGGUUGUUGAUCACAUGUCGAUUCGGCCGAAGAACCGAAUCAACGUAGCACAAAGCUUGAUGGAGAAAAGUUUCUAAUGAAGUAAAUUUAUUUCUUUAAUUCCAGUUUGUGGAAUUUUGUGAUCAAUUGACACGAAGCUCCUGGAGGCCGUGAGCUGAACCAACUAAAAACAGCAAGUCAAUGUUUUAACAAGUUGUUCAACCUGCACAGGACUUCAGACAGAACCAGGUGUGAUUAUAUGAGGAAACAGCAGGUGGCGCCGUGGAGCCACUAAAGGUCAUUAAAACAACAGAUUCUGUUUGGAUCGUCAUCAUAAGUCAAUGAGUCGCACUGAACCGUUUCACAGAUCAAUUAAUUAGUAUUUAUUUAUAUUAAAGGUUAUUAAAAUACUUAACUGUGAAAAUACCUAAAAACAAAAACAUAAAUUAAAUAAA